GCAUUACACCACAACAUUGGUUUCUCCAAUAAGCACCUGCAAGAACAUCAUUGGGGCCGAAAAUUCAUUGUCACGUGUGUCCGUGUACCUCUUAGCAACCAAGUAGUGUUGUAAUUUAACUUCCAUUUGAUCCUGACAAGAGUUUCACGUACGUGCAGUGGAACACUCGUACACAGAAACGCAAACAGACUUAAAGGGACAACAAUAACCACACUUGUAACACAAGGGGUCACCACGAAACCUAGUAUGUGAGUGCGAGCUUGUGUUGUUGGGUUUGGUUGGGGUGGGUAUGCAGAGCACGUGACAUGGAUUCCUUCCCGGCUGCCACUCUGCUGACUUAGAGGUUGGUAGUUUAUUACCAAGAUGGCUGCUCCUGUGAACUUGCGAGUUGGGGAUCUUGUUUGGGGGAAGCUGGGGCGGUAUCCUCCAUGGCCAGGAAAGUCAAGAAGCUGCUGCUUCUUUAGUUAAGAAAAUCAAAUCGGACAACUUUACAUGCAGUGUCGAGAGAGCUUGAUGUUACAGAUGAGAAAUCUGCAGACUGCAAAGACCUGACCCACCAAUCUUAAAAGAAAAUUGUGAAACAAAUUGUAGAUGACAAAAUGAGUUUGCUGCUGAUUAGAUGUCCGAGCCCACCAGCAAUGUUAAUGAGGUUUCUGCGUCUGUAAGUGUUGAACCUCCCACUCCCUCCAGUGAAGCGAUCUCCAGCUUUGAUGCAAGGUGGUUAUGGCUCCUUGGCUGCAGCCAUCAAGAAAAUGGAAGCUAAGAUUUCCCUCCAAGAGCCAUGUACACUUUCUUCAGGCCUAUGUCUCUCCACAUUUGACGUUCGGGAAACUGUGAUAUUGGUGAUGCUAGCCUUACUGAGAAUUGUUCGAACAUCAGAUGACCUAUGACUUUUGUUUUCAACAACGCAAACAAAUAGCAGGAGUAUGCAUCUCAAGUACAAGGUGUCAGUCAAAUGCCAUUAGUUAUAAGUCUUUGUAGAGACAUGUGAAAGAUGCACUGAAAAAGAUUAAACAUGACAGUCCAGCUCCUACUGUAUGCCAUUAAGGCUAAAGUACCAAUAUUUAGCUAAAAGAAGAAAACUGCUGCCUUCUACUUGCAUUUGUCAAAGGGUAAUAAAUGUGCUCAGGUAUUGUUUAUAGUGUAAACAGAACAAGAAAAUCAACCAAUAUUCCUGGAACUCUUGACCUGUAAUGGCUAGACCUACAACCAUAGGCUCCAUUCAUGUGCGGUGGUUGUGCCCAACAAAUUGUAAAAGUCUGAUUUCCAUUGUGUACUUAUAGAAUUGCUGAACUCUUAUUGUCAGUGGUAAAAUACAGAAUAACAUCCCUACUGAAA